ensembl:lncRNA
GUCUGGGUUACAGGGGUGAGAUCUGGGGCGCUGGGGUGAGAUCUGGGGCGCUGGGGUGAGGUCUGGGUUACAGGGGUGAGAUCUGGGGCGCUGGGGCCAGCUGAAGCACGGGAGCAGGGGAAGCCUGCUGCCUUACCUGCCAUGACAGCUGGAGAGUGGCAGUUAGGGGAGCCCCUCCCCCAACGGGGGGUUGCGUGACCGUUGGGGUCAGCCCCUUUCCCCCAGGCUUGAGAUGGUUUGAUUUUUCGUAGGCAAACAUCCUUCCCAUCCCAGUUGUUUCCCAUUCCAAUGAUCAGU